rnacentral:tRNA from 5 species
GUUGAGGUGGCAGAGCCCGGUAAUUGCAAAAGACCUAAGCCCUUUCAACAGAGGUUCAAGUCCUCUCCUCAACU